GACGAACGCUGGCGGCGUGCUUAACACAUGCAAGUCGAACGGAAAGGCCCCUUUGGGGGUACUCGAGUGGCGCACGGGUGCGUAACACGUGAGUAACCUGCCCUUGACUUCGGGAUAACUUCAGGAAACUGGGGCUAAUACCGGAUAGGAAUCCUUGCUGCAUGGUGGGGGUUGGAAAGCUUCGGCGGUUUUGGAUGGACUCGCGGCUUAUCAGCUUGUUGGUGGGGUAGUGGCUUACCAAGGCUUUGACGGGUAGCCGGCCUGAGAGGGCGACCGGCCACAUUGGGACUGAGAUACGGCCCAGACUCCUACGGGAGGCAGCAGUGGGGAAUAUUGCACAAUGGGCGGAAGCCUGAUGCAGCAACGCCGCGUGCGGGAUAACGGCCUUCGGGUUGUAAACCGCUUUCAGCAGGGGCGAAGCUUGUGGUGACGGUACCUGCAGAAGAAGCACCGGCUAACUACGUG
rnacentral:rRNA from 1 species